AUUUCUCAAACAUCCAUCCAAUGCCUUUGAGCUUUUCUUGCAAGAAUUUGCAAACAACUAUAAAGAAACAAAAGUUGAUUUAGACAAUUUUGAAAGGGAAUUAGAGUCUUAUUUCAAUGCAGCAACUAAACUCAAAAGAAAAUUACAUUUGAGUACAUUAAAGGAAAGGUUCUUCUUCUUCUUCAUAACUUUAGUGUUGUUAACAUUCUUGAAUAUCAUGCCAUAAGAUGUUCUUAUUAUCCUCUUGAACAUCAUGCCAAAAGUAAUUGUUGCAAUCCAUACAUAGCCACUGCCCAUCAUUCCUAGCUUCUGAGCAAUGGAAAAAUGCUCAAACCAGUUUCAGGAUUAACAUCCCUCCAUCUGUAUAAGUAGUUUUUGUUUCCAUUUUUGUUGUUAUAUUGAUUGUUUGUUAAUGAA